UUGGCUGCACGCGUUUUUGGAGGAUAGGAGCUUUUGAGCUAGGUAUGGUUGUGUGUAGUGGGGUUGUGAUCGCUCAGCUUUGCUGUGUGAUGACAUAAUGAUACGGGAGGCCUGAGCCGCUGCCGAGUCCUAGGAUUUCUGUGGAUAGCGGCAAGAUAGUGCUUUUCUUUGCUGGUUUGGACAUGGAUUUAGGUAGGUCCGCAUGAAGGAAGAAGCUGAGUAACGUGUCUUUAGUAAGUGUGGGGUGGUUUGGCGUAAUUUGUGGCCCCCAAGGGCUCCAGUUAUCCCGAGGAAAGGGCGAGAAGGGUGAUCUGUGAUUUCUACAGGCAACUGAUGUGCCUCGGUGGCCAUGUUGUAGGCGCCCAGAGCAAUACUGUAAUGCAGACCAGUAACACUAGUAGGUGUGCACUAAGGCUGGGGGAAUGGCCGUCGCUUUUUUGCACAUACUCUGUGUAGCUCUGUGCCUGGAACUAGCUGGGUAUCAUGGCUUUUGAAGCAGUAGGCUGUUGGGUAUUGAUCCUGUCUAGAACACUUGAGUUUUGCUCUACAAGCAUAUAUAAAACUGCAGGUUUUAUCUGCUCACCUAAGAAUAAAAGAUAAUGGAGACUGAACAACAGGAGGAGACCUUUACCAACACAGAGACAAAUGGCAAACGUCCUGCAGAAGAUAUGGAAGAAGAACAGGCCUUCAAAAGAUCUCGGAAUACAGAUGAGAUGGUUGAGUUACGCAUCCUGCUUCAAAGCAAAGUAUGUUGUUUUUUUUUU